rnacentral:tRNA from 1 species
GGAGAGAUACUCAAGUGGCUCAAGAGGACGGUUUGCUAAACCGUUAGUGUGCGUAAGUGCAGCGAGGGUUCGAAUCCCUCUCUCUCCGCCA